GAAAGCGGAGAGGGUUAGAGAGAGAGGAAGGAUCACAGCUCAGAAGGUGUUAUGGCAGGUGUUCAAACCAGAGACUAAAAAAUUUUGCUUAUUUCCAUACCAAUAAUGUUAUUGGUGGAGAAUGAAGAGACAACAACUGUCACUCCAACCCUCGCUGAAACAGACAUUCCCUUUGCAUUCUGACAUCAUAGUCUACUUUGGUUGCCACAACCCAGGGAAAUAAAUGCCAUCAAAUUUGAGGAAGCACAUCGAGACAGGUCCUCCCUGUCGUCUGGGGCUGAGAGAAAUCUAGGGACCAGCUUUCGGGAUGCAGCCACCCAAACAGUGGAGAUUACCACAUCCGAUUGUGCCACACAGGUGGACGAGACCAUGUUCACCUGCAGUGUGUCCCAGGAUGACGUUUUGCAGGCCUCUGAGCAUUGCCUGGAUUCUCUAUCCUGGCAUUCAGAGUAUGCUGAAGAGGCCCACAAGGUCUGCUUGGCUCUGGAAAUGCACGCACUGGAAAAACCCCCCUUCAGCACAGGGUUCCAGCGCUGCUCAUUCCGAUCGCGCAUACCUGUCCUGGCUCGCACCACCAGCAGCAGAGGAAGAUGUAAGGAUGUCCAAAAGAUUGGAACCAUCACCCAUGACGUACGCUGUCUGAAAAAAGCUUGACUGCUGGAAUUGGACAAAACACAGUCAAGCAGGUGGCAAGAUAGCAGCAGAUUGUGCAGACAGGCCCUUAGCCAGAACACCACCCCAGCUCAUGACCAUCAUCAGCGCUUUCAACUAGAUGCUGCAGACCUUCUAAUUCCAUCUUCCCUCAGAACCACAUUCCAUCUUCCCUCUAAACCAGCUGCUGAUACUAUCUUCCUUCUAAGCUACCUUCUGAUACUAUCUUCCUUCUAAGCUACCUUCUGAUACUAUCUUCCUUCUAAGCUACCUUCUGAUACUAUCUUCCUUCUAAACCACCUUCUGAUACUAUCUUCCUUCUAAACCACCUUCUGAUACUAUCUUCCCUCUAAACCAGCUGCUGAUACCAUCUUCCUUAUAAGUCAUGUUCAUCCCCAUAUCCCCCUUUUCCAUCUCUUCAAUAAAUAACAAAAUAAAAAAUAAUCUGGUAAAUGGACUGCAUUUAUAUAGCGCUU